CAGAAUGAUGCGGUGAAUACGUUCCCGGGCCUUGUACACACCGCCCGUCACACCAUGGGAGUGGGUUGCUCCAGAAGUGGAUAGUCUAACCUUCGGGAGGACGUUCACCACGGAGUGAUUCAUGACUGGGGUGAAGUCGUAACAAGGUAGCCCUAGGGGAACCUGGGGCUGGAUCACCUCCUUAUACGA
rnacentral:rRNA from 1 species